CCCGGAGCCAGAAGACUGGGUUCCCGUCUGCUCGGUGACCUUGAGCAGGCGACGACAGGACCCUCCCUGACCGCUGGGCUGCUGACGGGUAGCCUGGAGAGGCCGAGGACCACGGACCAAGGGAGCCCAGGAACUUACCCUCUGCUCCUGUGUGGCCACGAAGGUCUGGAACCCUGGAGCCACCCCAAAGCCCAGCUCUUGGAUGAAAGGCGGCUCAGACUGGCUGUGGAUCUGAACUUUCACUCCUGCUUCAAACGUCGUUUCCUCUGAAAAAACAGAGAAGGACAGGACCGUGGGUCAGAGACAACAGGUGCUAUGGAGUCCUGGGACUGAACAGCUCCAAGGGACACCAAUGAGGCCAUGUGGCACCUGCAGAGACCCUCCAUCCAGCACGAAGGCCACUCAAGGAGUGAGCUCAGGAUCCCAGCUGCCUGCUGCGUAGCCCUGUGCUCGGGACUCUCCAAGAUCAGGUCACAGCCUGCAGCUGAACUUCUGUGGAUGUCCUUGUCACCAGGCACCAAGGCCAGAGUUUUUCCUGGGAGCAGAGUUGUUGGAGAAACCGUAGCAGCCACCUGCAUCCGCUCCUGCUAUGUUCCAUCUGUGAUGGAGAAAGGGGAAUGGGCUACCCUUGAUAGCUGCUCAGGCCUUCCAGCUAUGCGGAAAAUUCAUGAUAAUUUUAAAUUAAAUUUUAAUUUUGAUCAAAGCAAUAUAUGCACAUAAUUUUAAAAGCUGACUGGUACCUCGAGACUGCUAAUGAAAAAGAGCAGGGCCCGGCCCCACCUCUCCCCAGCC